UGGGCUGGCCACGAGGCCCUGGUUCACCCACUGGCGGGGGCUAUCUCC
rnacentral:ncRNA from 1 species